CUUCACUCAUGCAGAACACCAGACAGAAACGCAGAACAGCUACCAGCUAAAUCUGCCCUAAUCCUCGCUUUGAUGUAAGAUUUCUCAUUCUGGGUCCGAACGUGUCAGGACAAGUGUAAACGUGAGCAGCUGUGGAAAGCACCAGACACUGAUGCUCACCGAUCUGCAUCUAUAACAGUGACCCACAGAGGAGUGCCCGAAUGCCCCGUGCAGAGGGGGACCACACUUUCUAGACCGAAAGAUUUUAAGAUCAGCAAGUAUGCCUCUGCAGUGUACCUUUUUCAUGAGCUUUGUUCUUGUACCAGGGGUAAGAAGGAAGAAAUGCUCACUGCCCUCGAGAGGCUCCCGGGCUAGCUGGAGGACCCUGGAGGCAGGUACAU